rnacentral:rRNA from 1 species
GACGAACGCUGGCGGCGUGCUUAACACAUGCAAGUCGAACGGUGAAGCGCCUUCCUUUUUGGUGGGUGUGGAUGAGUGGCGAACGGGUGAGUAACACGUGAGUAACCUGCCCCCUUCUUCUGGAUAACCGCAUGAAAGUGUGGCUAAUACGGGAUAUUCUGGGUCUGUCGCAUGAUGGGUCUGGGAAAGAUAUUGUUUCGGUGGGGGAUGGGCUCGCGGCCUAUCAGCUUGUUGGUGGGGUGAUGGCCUACCAAGGCGGUGACGGGUAGCCGGCCUGAGAGGGUGGACGGUCACACUGGGACUGAGACACGGCCCAGACUCCUACGGGAGGCAGCAGUGGGGAAUAUUGCACAAUGGGCGCAAGCCUGAUGCAGCGACGCCGCGUGAGGGAUGGAGGCCUGCGGGUUGUGAACCUCUUUCGCCAGUGAAGCAGGCCUGCCUCGUUUGUGGGUGGGUUGACGGUAGCUGGAUAAGACGCGCCGGCUAACUACGUG